rnacentral:lncRNA from 1 species
AUGUUUCAAGGAUUUCUUGGUCCCUGUAUCCUUCGAGCAGCUUGGCGCAUCCCUGUCAUCCGCAUCAUAGAUUUCGUGACUUUUGGCAGCAUCUUUAGAGUCAGACGGAAUAUCAUCUUUGGAGGAGGAGAGUUUUCGCUUCUUCACAGGGCUUUCAUCUGCAGAGGCAAAGAUUUGAAUUCCCAAUCGAAUGCUCCAGUAAUUCAAACAACAUGGACGAAGAAUGUUUACAGAGUUCCAUGUGAUGGCACAAUUCGUCAGAGAGCAAUUGAACAAAGCCCAUAUGAAACUACAGCAGUCUUGUUCUGGAUAUAAGAUUUUUGAAUCUAUAACAAUUUCUUAAUUAUCAUUGAAAGUAAAAUUUCAUCACUAAGACUGUUCUUCUUGAGAGUAACUAUGGAGUUCUGCCAACCACUUCCGAUGAGCAGAUCUCAUCUUUCCUCAAAAAAUUUGAUUUCCUUUCACUUCAAGUGAUUCGAUGAACGUUAUUUUUUGUGUCAGGGACGUGCAAUAUAUCGCAUCAAUAUAUUCCAUAAUUUCAGCUCCUUGUAAUUUUUUUUUCGAAUUUUGAGAUUGCACUUUUGUUGUCAUGAGACUAAAGAAUUCAUGUGCUAAAUUAGACAAAGAAAUUCAAUGAAAUCAAGGCAGGGUUUUUCUAGAGGAAAAAUAUUGCAUUCGAUAUUGAUAUCAAAACUGCAUUCGAAUGCGACAUUUUUCCUCUAGAAAAACCCUGCCUCUAUUACAUUGAAUACAUACAUUAAGCCGCUUUUUAGAGCAGCCUUGCGCUCUGCGAUGCCCAAUCGCCAUUGCCCCCUAUCUUCCCAGAGAAUUACAUUGAAUUUCUUUGUCAAAUUUGGUACAUGAAUUCUUUAGUCUCAUGACAACAGGAUUGUAAUCUCGAAAAAAUGACAAGUAGCUGAAAUUACGGAACAAAUAGAUGCGAUAUAUUGCACGUUGCUCUGACACAAAAAAUGGCAUUCGUCGAAUCACCGUAACACCGCCCGUAUGAUGCUGCUAUAAAACAGCGUAAACUCACCAGUUGAUUCAUUCGGCGAUGAGGGCAUGGCCGUCUCGAGCUUUACUAUUUUCAGCAACAUCUGCUGUAAAAACUGCGCAAAAUUGGGAGGCGGUGUGAGAACGAACGACUUGGUGCUCGGUUCUUCACUGUCGUCCGAGUAUCCUGUGGAGCGUGAACUGUUGAGCACCGACUGGAGCUGAAGCGCCAAAUUAUGCGAAUAGAUGAUAGCCAGGGCACGGAGGUCUCCAUUGAGUUUGUACCCAACAUCCAAGAUAUUAAGGUUGGCCCGGUUGGCCAUUAGAGAGAGGCACAGUUUUUCGACCAUUUGGACUGUUUGGUCGGUUAAAACUUGUUGCGCUACCUGUCAAAAAAAAAAUUUACAGGAGGUGAGUCAUUGGUUAGAAAAGCAGGCAAAUGAUAACAUACAGGGUGUCCCAGGAUUAAAUUUGAAUAUUGAAGGAGUCGAUUCUUUGGGUCAAAAAAAGACGUUUUAGUGGUAUAAAGUUUUUUCCAAAAACGCUUUCCCUGGGCGCCAUGACUCCCCAAAAUUGGAGGAAAAAAAUCGUAUUUUUAACACUGCAGCAAUGUUUGUCAACCAAUAUUAAUAAAAAUUGGUAAUUGGGAGUA